rnacentral:rRNA from 1 species
AUUCGAGUGGCGAACGGGUGAGUAACACGUGGGUGAUCUGCCCUGCACUUCGGGAUAAGCUUGGGAAACUGGGUCUAAUACCGGAUAGGAGCCAUCUUUAGUGUGGUGGUUGGAAAGUUUUUCGGUGUAGGAUGAGCUCGCGGCCUAUCAGCUUGUUGGUGGGGUAAUGGCCUACCAAGGCGGCGACGGGUAGCCGGCCUGAGAGGGUGUACGGCCACAUUGGGACUGAGAUACGGCCCAG